UACAGAGGGGGCAAGCGUUGUUCGGAAUUACUGGGCGUAAAGGGCGCGUAGGCGGCCUGCUAAGUCGAACGUGAAAUCCCCGGGCUCAACCCGGGAACUGCGUCCGAUACUGGUGGGCUUGAAUCCGGGAGAGGGAUGUGGAAUUCCAGGUGUAGCGGUGAAAUGCGUGGAUAUCUGGAGGAACACCGGUGGCGAAGGCGGCAUCCUGGACCGGUAUUGACGCUGAGGCGCGAAAGCUAGGGGAGCAAACGGG
rnacentral:rRNA from 1 species